rfam:Gossypium arboreum cultivar AKA8401 contig_10996_5, whole genome shotgun sequence.
UGUUAAAAAAUUCAUCUAUUUGUACUGUUAAAAACUAGUCUAGCUAAUAAAAUAAUCAAACAGUAAUGUACCUCAUACUAAUGUACAUAGACCUUUUUUAACACUAGAAAUAGAUGAAAUUUUAAUA